GCCGCUUGCCACAUCUCCCUCCUCAACCUUUUGAGAAUUGGGUUGAUUGUGGUUUGAUUGUGGGUUACUGGUUUGAGUUGCUUGGGGUGAUUCUGUGAAGGGUUCCUAUGCCCGGGUAUCGGCCCAAGAUCUUUUGUUACACUACUCCCUUGUGGCUUUCCUCAUAUACCACAAAGUAUAGGAUUCGACAUGGAUUAUGGAUUGACUGGACGGAGGAUCCCCUUUCCCAUUUUUCAUUUGGGUUCAUAUUGAAUUGUUGUAGGAGGUUGAGAAUCGAGAUUACGGUGAAAGGCCUGUUCCAGGCGUGUCCGCGGAUCUAAGCUCCGAAACCUGCUUUUCUUAAGUUCGGUGUCCGUCACUUGUCAAUAACCGACCUUGAGACCCUCGACAACCUACCAGAUGAUCAUCCUCGAGUUCUCUCUGGCGAAGUUUUGUCAGAAGACAGAGACCGUGGCGCAGCAUUGGUUCUAGCUCAAUUCACUAGUUCCGAAUCCCUCGUGAAGAUUGUAUCUUACCAUAACGAUGACCUUCCUCCAUUGCUUAGCGCUUUCCUUCAAUUCAAUUACUUGCCAGUUACCACUAUAGGAAAUUAUGUUCCUAGGGCCUAGGCUAGUGAGUUCGGUUCUGAAGGAAGAACGGUGCUCAUUGUCGCUUCAAAGAGAUCGACACUCGACCAAUGCCGUUUGCCUGUGGGGAUAAGGGUCUCUGUUUCCGCUGGCCGUUCUCAGCCUCAUCGCAUCAAGGCAUCUAAGGAGGACUGCAGCCUGCUCAAGUGUUAAAAUCAUUACAGUAUAACUGCCAGACCGUUUCGGUUGUGUUUCUCGACUGGAAUUCUCUUCGCAUC